UGUAGGCGGUCAAGCAAGUCAGGGGUGAAAGGCAUCGGCUCAACCGAUGUAAGCCUUUGAAACUGUUUGACUUGAGUGCAGGAGAGGUAAGUGGAAUUCCUAGUGUAGCGGUGAAAUGCGUAGAUAUUAGGAGGAACACCAGUGGCGAAGGCGACUUACUGGACUGUAACUGACGCUGAGGCUCGAAAGCGUGGGGAGCGAACA
rnacentral:rRNA from 1 species